rnacentral:rRNA from 1 species
AUUGAACGCUGGCGGCAGGCCUAACACAUGCAAGUCGAGCGAGAGGCGGACGGGUGAGUAAUGUCUGGGAAACUGCCUGAUGGAGGGGGAUAACUACUGGAAACGGUAGCUAAUACCGCAUACCAUCAGAUGUGCCCAGAUGGGAUUAGCUAGUAGGUGGGGUAACGGCUGCCCUAGGCGACGAUCCCUAGCUGGUCUGAGAGGAUGCACAUCCACACUGGAACUGAGACACGGUCCAGACUCCGACGGUAGUCAGCAGUGGUGAAUAUUGCACAAUGGGCGAAAGCCUGAUGCAGCCAUGCCGCGUGUGGGAAGAAGGCCUUCGGGUUGUAAAGCACUUUCAUCGGGGAGGCGUUACCCGCAGAAGAAGCACCGGCUAACUCCGUGCCAGCAGCCGCGGUAAUUC